ACACAUGGCAUUAUAGAGUACCAGGAGCAGAGGGGAGAGGUGACACCACCAGGAAGGAGGCUGUGACCUUGGGGAGGCCACCAUUUAAUUGGGCAUCUUGUGUCAGAAGACUUAAAUGAUGCAGUGUAUGUUUACUUGUAUCAGUCUCAGAUUGGAAUGCAAGGAGAGGAUGAUCCUGCAUCUCUCCAGACUGAGCUGUCAGGAAAAUAAAGAACUUGGAUCCUUGCUUUUCUGAUGGGCCACCACUGCCUUUGGAUGGAAGGACAAAAGCUGCUUUCCAGGCUGGUAGGACAUUGGGAGGCAGGGUAGGAAGGACAUGGUGGUGGGGUGUGGUCUGCAAGCCUUUCGUGUCUUCCAGGAGCAAUUUCUUCCUUCUUUGACCCCAUCAAAGGAGAUGAAUCCCAGGUUCUUGCAAUACAUGUUUAUUUCAGCCAUCUUCUCCUUCCUAGGUUGGGGCAAAACUGUGUUCUGUGAUCACCAUCUGCCAUUGUGAUAAUUUCUUGGAGCACUGAGAUUUAACAUCACAAGAAGAAGAAA
rnacentral:lncRNA from 1 species